UGGUAGUNCACGCCGUAAACGCUGAGUGCUAGGUGUUAGGUCCUUUCCGGGACUUAGUGCCGACGCUAACGCAUUAAGCACUCCGCCUGGGGAGUACGACCGCAAGGUUGAAACUCAAAGGAAUUGACGGGGGCCCGCACAAGCGGUGGAGCAUGUGGUUUAAUUCGAAGCAACGCGAAGAACCUUACCAGGUCUUGACAUCCCGAUGCCCGCUCUAGAGAUAGAGUUUUACUUUUUGUACAUCGGAGACAGGUGGUGCAUGGUUGUCGUCAGCUCGUGUCGUGAGAUGUUGGGUUAANNNNNNNNNNCGAGCGCAACCCUUAUUGUUAGUUGCCAUCAUUAAGUUGGGCACUCUAGCGAGACUGCCGGUAAUAAACCGGAGGAAGGUGGGGAUGACGUCAAAUCAUCAUGCCCCUUAUGACCUGGGCUACACACGUGCUACAAUGGUUGGUACAACGAGUCGCAAGCCGGUGACGGCAAGCUAAUCUCUGAAAGCCAAUCUCAGUUCGGAUUGUAGGCUGCAACUCGCCUACAUGAAGUCGGAAUCGCUAGUAAUCGCGGAUCAGCACGCCGCGGUGAAUACGUUCCCGGGCCUUG
rnacentral:rRNA from 1 species